rnacentral:ncRNA from 1 species
ACAAUGGAGAGUUUGAUCCUGGCUCAGGAUGAACGCUAGCGGCAGGCUUAAUACAUGCAAGGCGAGGGGGCAGCAAUGUCACCGUCGUACGGGUGCGUAACGCGUAUGCAACCUACCUUCAACUGGGGGAUAGCCCGGGGAAACCCGGAUUAAUACCGCAUAACACAGGGGUACAGCAUUGUACUAUUUGUUAAAGAUUUAUUGGUUGAAGAUGGGCAUGCGUUCGAUUAGCUAGUUGGUAUGGGUAACGGCCUACCAAGGCGACGAUCGAUAGGGGAGCUGAGAGGUUGAUCCCCCACACGGGCACUGAGAUACGGGCCCGACUCCUACG